CCUACGGGAGGCAGCAGUGGGGAAUAUUGCACAAUGGGGGAAACCCUGAUGCAGCGACGCCGCGUGAGUGAAGAAGUAUUUCGGUACGUAAAGCUCUUUCAGUAGGGAAGAAAAUGACGGUACUUGACCAAGAAGCCCCGGCUAACUACGUCCCAGUAGCCGCGGUAAUACGGAGGGGGCACGCGCUAUCCGGAUUUACUGGGUGGAAAGGGAGCGCAGACGGCAGCGCAAGCCUGGAGUGAAAUCCCAUGGCUUAACCAGGGAACUGCUUUGGAAACUGGGCGGCUAGAGUGCAGGAGAGGGAAGCGGAAUUCCAGGUGUAGCAGUGAAAUGCGUAGAUAUUGGGAGGAACACCAGUGGCGAAGGCGGCUUCCUGGACAUUAACUGACGUUGAGGCACGAAGGCGUGGGGAGCAAACAGGAUUAGAUACCCUAGUAGUC
rnacentral:rRNA from 1 species